rnacentral:misc_RNA from 1 species
GUUGACUAUAAUUUUUUUUUUAAUUACUGGGUUGAUCACUUCAUCCCAUCAUCUGCCAAGGUUAGAUGGUCCAUGCAGUAGUGGUUGUUCCCCAGUGGCGGUUUUUGAUUUCAAAUUAGGAGUUUUCCUACAUAUCAGAGUUAAUGAUAUAAAAUCUGUUUGUAGCUGGAAAAUAGCGUGAUUCUUAAAAAGAGUCUAUAGAUUUAAGCAGUAAUUAUA